rnacentral:rRNA from 1 species
UACGAAGGGGGCUAGCGUUGCUCGGAAUCACUGGGCGUAAAGGGUGCGUAGGCGGGUCUUUAAGUCAGGGGUGAAAUCCUGGAGCUCAACUCCAGAACUGCCUUUGAUACUGAAGAUCUUGAGUUCGGGAGAGGUGAGUGGAACUGCGAGUGUAGAGGUGAAAUUCGUAGAUAUUCGCAAGAACACCAGUGGCGAAGGCGGCUCACUGGCCCGAUACUGACGCUGAGGCACGAAAGCGUGGGGGAGCAAACAGGG